GGUUGUCCCACACUAUAUAAAGCAAUAGAGGGUGCAUUUUCUCUCUCUUCAGUUCAAGCUAAAUGCAAAGGUGGACAAACGGCAUACGAUAAACCCUGCUCAGCCCAAUAUGGCUGCAUUGCUACUGCAGAAUAGCUCAAUGGUAUCUUCUGAGCAGACCUCAGACGGUGGAAUAACAAAUGGAUAUGCAGAAGGAUUAGGAUCAAUCUGAAGACCCUAUAAAAUGGGAUUCGAAUGAACCAGUGGACGUUUUAAUUCGAGGCUUAUAACCUCGGAUGGCUUGAGAAUUAACCACGGAACAUUCUGAAGGUCUCGUACCAACUGAAAUGGUAGCGGUGAUGAUCCAAUCACCUUGGGAUUGAACAGCGGUAUGGAGGUACAAGUGUGCCUUAACACUUAAGAUGUAAUGGCCCAAUCCAGGUCCCUUGAUGGGAAUGUCAAUCUGUAGGUCUUAUGACUGACCAAUUACACUUCAACGUUGAUAUACCCGUAAUACGGGUUUUAAGGUCUUGUGAAAAAAUGAUUGAGGCCUGUCAUACAUCCUAAUGGCCUUAUCCUGCCAGCAUAACAUCGACGUGGGAAUUCUACUAACGGCCUGUAUGCGGCUCACAUCCAUCCAAUGAGUGAAGCUAAAAUAAGACAAUAUUAUUUGUGCCCUGGUGCUAUAAGCUCAUCACGUCCCAUGAGCCAGGUUGAGUGGUAAAAUAUUUCCUCUCCACUUGUAAAGCCCGUUUACUGCAAUAAAGAUGACUUAACCCUG